ACCCAGGUGUCCCAACUGAAAAAAUCAACUAAUCAACAGAAGAGAGGAUUCGGGAACAGAUCUGUGCAUAUUUGACAGAGGAGGCAUUUCAAAUGGGCUAGUCUCCUGAACGACGGAAAAAAAAUGGAGGGA